CAUGAUAUUCCGUGCUGUUUGGGAUGGAGGAGACAGAACGAAACCAAGAUUUUUUCCACCUCAGACUUACAACACAAUUUAUCUCAAGGAUAUUUUUGCUCGUGGCCAUAUUGUUAUGUCUCAAAGAUCUACGAACAGAUCCAAGUCCUGGGCGGCGGAUCUUCUGCUGGAGUUGACCUCAGUUGUCCUGGCCUUUGGUACCGUGGCUUUCUUCAUGUCUUAGGCUGAGAUCCUGCUCAUUGGUGUCCAUUUGGGUGUGACCAUUACAAAUCUCGGAACCAAGCAACUUUAUAUCACCACCAGAUAGAAUGUAAAAUGGCUCAUGUUAGUGUUUCAAUAAAGUUUUAUUUCUAAUUCAUUAAAAGUCAUAGUCAAUGCUUCUACAUCAGAACAUUGUUGUUUAAUAA